CAGAGCAACUAGAGACGACAGAGACAAAAACCAUAAGACAGAACUCAAAGAAACCAAAGACUAGAAAUUAUAAUAUAACAAACUCAAAAACCCUGGGUCAACGACCCAGGCCUCCUAACAGUACCCCCCCCUUAAGGGCUGGCUUCCAGACAGCCCAAACCAGAAUCACCAAAAACGAAAAACAACCCAACCAGGGCGGGCGGUGGGGGAAACAGGACGGAGGGCUCGAAACAAACCAAACAAGGAGCCAGAAACAAAAAAAAAAGCGCAAACAACGGAGCCCAGAAAGCAACAUAACAAAACACACAGGCGGCCAGGAAAAACAAUUCACACAAAGUCCAGGGGGCUGGCCCGGAGGACGACGACCCAAGAGUCCAGAAAAAAGUUCAGGAGGCCGGCCGGGCGGGAGGCACCGGCGGCGACGGAGCAGGUCAGGAGGCCGUCCACGACGGCGAGGAUGCCCAAUCAUCGGCCCGGAAGGAGGCCGUCCAUGACGGCGAGGACGCCCAAUCAUCGGCUUGGAAAGCGGCCAGAAAGGACGAGCAGGCCGGACAGGACGAGCAGGACGAGCAGGCCGGACAGGACGAGCAGGACGAGCAGGCCGGACAGGACGAGCAGGCCCAGGACGUGUAAUCAGAGGCCUGGAAGGAGGCCGGCGCUGUAGAGGCGCAGGAUGUGGUCCGGACGUCGGCGUGGCCGAGGCAGGACCAAGCGAAGCUGUAGCCGAGGCCAGACCAGACGAAGGCGAAGACUCGGAGGCCGGACCGGGCGAAGGCGAAGACUCGAAGGCCGGACCGGGCGAAGGCGAAGACUCGGAGGCCGGACCGGGCGAAGGUGAAGACUCGGAGGCCGGACCGGGCGAAGGCGAAGACUCGGAGGCCGGACCGGGCGAGGGUGACGCUGCAGGCGACGCUGAAGCUGGACCAGACGACGGCGGAGCUGAAGCCGUAGCUGGACCAGGCGAGGACGAAGCCGUAGCCGUAGCUGGACCAGGCGAGGACGAAGCCGUAGCCGUAGCUGGACCAGGUGACGGCGUGGGAGCCGCAGGUGGUGGCGAUGAAGGCUGGACGGGCCCUUCGGACCCUCCAGCGGAGGCAGAAG